rnacentral:rRNA from 1 species
UACGGAGGGUGCAAGCGUUAUCCGGAUUCACUGGGUUUAAAGGGUGCGUAGGCGGGCAGGUAAGUCCGUGGUGAAAUCUCUGAGCUUAACUCAGAAACUGCCAUGGAUACUAUUUGUCUUGAAUAUUGUGGAGGUGAGCGGAAUAUGUCAUGUAGCGGUGAAAUGCUUAGAUAUGACAUAGAACACCGAUUGCGAAGGCAGCUCGCUAAACUUAUAUUGACGCUGAGGCACGAAAGCGUGGGGAUCAAACAGG